rnacentral:lncRNA from 1 species
GAUCUUGGUUUUUCCGUAUGGCCAAUUCUUCCAUCUUCUUUGUUAUAUUUAAUAACAAGGCUUCAUUUGGAUCUUUAAUAGUCGCAUUUGUGAACAACUCCGGUUGUUGAUAGGUUGGCAAGGUAAAAUAAAGUGUCAUUAUUAUUGGAGCUAUUGCUUGGAGUGGUGUAGGAUUAAUUGAUUUUUGUAAUAUAACAUUCUUCACAUUGGAAUUAGCCAUUUCUGGAUAAUUAUCCAUCGAUACAUUUCCCAGUUGUAUUUGUUGGCUUCCUGAACUUGGAAUCAUCGUGGCCCCUACUGUUAACAAUUAGUCAUAAUAACAUUCUUCCCAUACCUUUGCUUAUGCCAACGAUGCCUCUCCUGUAGCUGGUCGAGCAUCUUUUACAAACAUUUAUAAUUUUGAUGGAUGCAAACUAUUGAUUAAUAUCG